rnacentral:lncRNA from 1 species
AAAAAAGAAAGGCUAAACACAAAACAUCAUGACACUUGGCCACAAUAGUAGUUUCGUCCAAAUUGAUCUUGAGAGUAUGAAUAAAUUAGAAUUUUGCUAAAACCAGGCUUCAUAAUUUAAUAGAAUUUCAGACAGAGGUGCAGAAUAGGUAAUAAAAUGUUAGAAACAGUGAAUGCACAAAUUAAAUUUAACCAAACAAACUCAC